ensembl:snoRNA
AGGUCAUUUCAAAGAGAGUUUGUGGGACUGAAAACUGCACAUUCUUAGUGUUGUGACCAAAGAUUGGUGCUCUCCACAGAAUGACAGAGUCACUUCAUAGUGCUGUGUUUUCUGAGGAGAGACAUCC